GACGAACGCUGGCGGCGUGCUUAACACAUGCAAGUCGAACGGAAAGGCCCUGCUUUUGUGGGGUGCUCGAGUGGCGAACGGGUGAGUAACACGUGAGUAACCUGCCCUUGACUUUGGGAUAACUUCAGGAAACUGGGGCUAAUACCGGAUAGGAGCUCCUGCUGCAUGGUGGGGGUUGGAAAGUUUCGGCGGUUGGGGAUGGACUCGCGGCUUAUCAGCUUGUUGGUGGGGUAGUGGCUUACCAAGGCUUUGACGGGUAGCCGGCCUGAGAGGGUGACCGGCCACAUUGGGACUGAGAUACGGCCCAGACGCCUACGGGAGGAAGGAGUGGGGAAUAUUGCACAAUGGGCGGAAGCCUGAUGCAGCAACGCCGCGUGCGGGAUGACGGCCUUCGGGUUGUAAACCGCUUUCGCCUGUGACGAAGCGUGAGUGACGGUAAUGGGUAAAGAAGCACCGGCUAACUACGU
rnacentral:rRNA from 1 species